CUUAUCUCAUUGCAUGGAUCCAAUGCAUCAAACUCGAGUUGAUAUAUGUCCUUAAACUUGAGAUCUAUAUGAUUCAUUUAGUUUGUUUACAAGAGGCGGUUUCAGUUACUGUCAUUUUUAUACAAGUGUAAAUGUGUGACGGUAUAUUUAAAUUGUGAGCUGAUGUUUCCUGGGAAGUUUGUGCUACAGAGAGAAGAUGAGUUUUCGUCACUGGUGGAAAGAGUGCAGAUUGCAGCCAAGGCCCUAUACCACAAGUUGUUCCUAAAAAUAAAUCGAAUAAGCAGUUAACUGAAACUCCUUUAGAAGCUUAUGUGUCUUCUACUCUAUAUGAAGUUGAAGAGGAGAGAGUUGGUGUACCUGUUAAGCGUCGGCUAUAUGAGGAACCAUAAUACUGUUGGUGGACUUGGUGAGGAGACAUUGUUUCCUGUAUACUGGAAUGGAGAUAAUUGGCAUGUGCUGAGAGUCCAGAAACUGUUACCGAUCACUUGGAACUUCCAUAUUAUAACAAGGUCUGGCGCAGAAGAAGGGAUAAACCCUCUGGGUUUUUUGCAUCUCAUGCGGAUUUGAAGGUUCCAGGAAUAUGUUCUCUCUUUACCGGGGAGGAUGAUACUUGGAAAUCUUGGCUUUAACGCGGUUAUGCCAGCUCUCCUAAACCUACGCCAGUUCUCAAAAAUAUUCUGGAAUUAAGUCUCACAUUUCUUUUCUAUCUAAGUUCUAUGAUUUGAAUCAUAUUUCUUGUGCUUCUAUUCAGGAGAACUAGGCCAAGAACUGAAGAGAUCGUAAGAGCUCAAAUCAAGGGUUUGCAGAGGCGCCAAA